rnacentral:rRNA from 1 species
UACGUAGGUGACAAGCGUUGUCCGGAUUUACUGGGCGUAAAGAGCGCGCAGGCGGUCGAUCAAGUCGAGUGUGAAAGCCCCCGGCUCAACCGGGGAGGGUCGUCGGGGACCGCACCGCUUGAGGGCGGUAGGGGCUGGUGGAAUGCCUGGUGUAGUGGUGAAAUGCGUAGAGAUCAGGCGGAACACCCGUGGCGAAGGCGGCCAGCUGGGCCGUCCCUGACGCUGAGGCGCGAAGGCGUGGGGAGCGAACGGG